GAGGGUAUAGCUCAGUGGUAGAGUGCUUGCUUAGCAUUUAGCAUGCAUGAGUUCAUGGGUUCAAUUGCCGGUACCUUCA
rnacentral:tRNA from 1 species